ACCGUUAUAGCUUAAUGGACAGAGCAUUUGGCUACGGACCAAAAAGUAGGUGUUCGAGUCACCUUAGCGGUACCA
rnacentral:tRNA from 2 species